CGAGGGUGCAAGCGUUAAUCGGAAUUACUAGGCGUAAAGCGAGUGUAGGCGGCUACCUAAGUCGGAUGUGAAAGCCCCGGGCUCAACCUGGGAAUUGCACUCGAAACUGAGUAGCUAGAGUUUGGUAGAGGUAAGUGGAAUUCCAGGUGUAGCGGUGAAAUGCGUAGAUAUCUGGAGGAACAUCAGUGGCGAAGGCGGCUUACUGGACCAAAACUGACGCUGAGGCUCGAAAGCGUGGGGAGCAAACAGGAUUAGAUACCCGAGUAGUCC
rnacentral:rRNA from 1 species